GAUGAACGCUGACGGCGUGCUUAACACAUGCAAGUCGAACGGAAAGGCCCAAGCUUGCUUGGGUACUCGAGUGGCGAACGGGUGAGUAACACGUGGGUGAUCUGCCCUGCACUUCGGGAUAAGCCUGGGAAACUGGGUCUAAUACCGGAUAGGACGAUGGGUUGGAUGCCAUUGUGGAAAGUUUUUUCGGUGUGGGAUGAGCUCGCGGCCUAUCAGCUUGUUGGUGGGGUAAUGGCCUACCAAGGCGUCGACGGGUAGCCGGCCGGUGAGGGGGUACGGCCACCUUGCGACUGAGAUACGGCCCAGACUCCUGCGGGCGGCAGCAGUGGGGAAUAUUGAACAAUAGGCGCUGGCCUGAUGCAGCGACGCCGCGUGGGGGAUGACGGCCGUCGGGUUGUAGACUCCUUUCGCUAGGGACGAAGCGUUUUUGUGACGGUACCUGGAGAAGAAGCACCGGCUAACUACGUG
rnacentral:rRNA from 1 species